GUUCCUGUCCAACGUUAAUCGGGGCAGGGUGAGUCGACCCCUAAGGCGAGGCCGAAAGGCGUAGUCGAUGGGAAACAGGUUAAUAUUCCUGUACUUGGUGUUACUGCGAAGGGGGGACGGAGAAGGCUAUGUUGGCCGGGCGACGGUUGUCCCGGUUUAAGCGUGUAGGCUGGUUUUCCAGGCAAAUCCGGAAAAUCAAGGCUGAGGCGUGAUGACGAGGCACUACGGUGCUGAAGCAACAAAUGCCCUGCUUCCAGGAAAAGCCUCUAAGCAUCAGGUAACAUCAAAUCGUACCCCAAACCGACACAGGUGGUCAGGUAGAGAAUACCAAGGCGCUUGAGAGAACUCGGGUGAAGGAACUAGGCAAAAUGGUGCCGUAACUUCGGGAGAAGGCACGCUGAUAUGUAGGUGAGGUCCCUCGCGGAUGGAGCUGAAAUCAGUCGAAGAUACCAGCUGGCUGCAACUGUUUAUUAAAAACACAGCACUGUGCAAACACGAAAGUGGACGUAUACGGUGUGACGCCUGCCCGGUGCCGGAAGGUUAAUUGAUGGGGUUAGCGCAAGCGAAGCUCUUGAUCGAAGCCCCGGUAAACGGCGGCCGUAACUAUAACGGUCCUAAGGUAGCGAAAUUCCUUGUCGGGUAAGUUCCGACCUGCACGAAUGGCGUAAUGAUGGCCAGGCUGUCUCCACCCGAGACUCAGUGAAAUUGAACUCGCUGUGAAGAUGCAGUGUACCCGCGGCAAGACGGAAAGACCCCGUGGACCUUUACUAUAGCUUGACACUGAACAUUGAGCCUUGAUGUGUAGGAUAGGUGGGAGGCUUGGAAGUGUGGACGCCAGUCUGCAUGGAGCCGACCUUGAAAUACCACCCUUUAAUGUUUGAUGUUCUAACGUUGACCCGUAAUCCGGGUUGCGGACAGUGUCUGGUGGGUAGUUUGACUGGGGCGGUCUCCUCCUAAAGAGUAACGGAGGAGCACGAAGGUUGGCUAAUCCUGGUCGGACAUCAGGAGGUUAGUGCAAUGGCAUAAGCCAGCUUGACUGCGAGCGUGACGGCGCGAGCAGGUGCGAAAGCAGGUCAUAGUGAUCCGGUGGUUCUGAAUGGAAGGGCCAUCGCUCAACGGAUAAAAGGUACUCCGGGGAUAACAGGCUGAUACCGCCCAAGAGUUCAUAUCGACGGCGGUGUUUGGCACCUCGAUGUCGGCUCAUCACAUCCUGGGGCUGAAGUAGGUCCCAAGGGUAUGGCUGUUCGCCAUUUAAAGUGGUACGCGAGCUGGGUUUAGAACGUCGUGAGACAGUUCGGUCCCUAUCUGCCGUGGGCGCUGGAGAACUGAGGGGGGCUGCUCCUAGUACGAGAGGACCGGAGUGGACGCAUCACUGGUGUUCGGGUUGUCAUGCCAAUGGCACUGCCCGGUAGCUAAAUGCGGAAGAGAUAAGUGCUGAAAGCAUCUAAGCACGAAACUUGCCCCGAGAUGAGUUCUCCCUGACCCUUUAAGGGUCCUGAAGGAACGUUGAAGACGACGACGUUGAUAGGCCGGGUGUGUAAGCGCAGCGAUGCGUUGAGCUAACCGGUACUAAUGAACCGUGAGGCUUAACCUU
rnacentral:rRNA from 1 species